GAUGAACGCUGGCGGCGUGCCUAAUACAUGCAAGUCGAGCGAACAGACGAGGAGCUUGCUCCUCUGACGUUAGCGGCGGACGGGUGAGUAACACGUGGAUAACCUACCUAUAAGACUGGGAUAACUUCGGGAAACCGGAGCUAAUACCGGAUAAUAUAUUGAACCGCAUGGUUCAAUUGUGAAAGACGGUUUUGCUGUCACUUAUAGAUGGAUCCGCGCCGCAUUAGCUAGUUGGUAAGGUAACGGCUUACCAAGGCAACGAUGCGUAGCCGACCUGAGAGGGUGAUCGGCCACACUGGAACCGAGACACGGUCCAGACUCCUACGGGAGGCAGCAGUAGGGAAUCUUCCGCAAUGGGCGAAAGCCUGACGGAGCAACGCCGCGUGAGUGAUGAAGGUCUUCGGAUCGUAAAACUCUGUUAUUAGGGAAGAACAAAUGUGUAAGUAACUAUGCACGUCUUGACGGUACCUAAUCAGAAAGCCACGGCUAACUACGUG
rnacentral:rRNA from 1 species